UACGGAGGGUCCAAGCGUUAUCCGGAAUCAUUGGGUUUAAAGGGUCCGUAGGCGGUUUAGUAAGUCAGUGGUGAAAGCCCAUCGCUCAACGGUGGAACGGCCAUUGAUACUGCUAAACUUGAAUUAUUGGGAAGUAACUAGAAUAUGUAGUGUAGCGGUGAAAUGCUUAGAGAUUACAUGGAAUACCAAUUGCGAAGGCAGGUUACUGCCAAUAUAUUGACGCUGAUGGACGAAAGCGUGGGGAGCGAACAGG
rnacentral:rRNA from 1 species